CCAAAAAUCUAUUGUUGAUGUGUGAGAUCAGGUAGAGCAUCAAUGUUAGCAAAAAGCUCUUGUUAAGGUGUGUGAGGUCAAAUAAAGCAUGGGUGUUAGAGCAGCGUAGCGGAAUGGUUAACGCGUUCAACAAACCAAGAGGGGGGUAAAUCAGUUUCUUAUCACAAAUCGUUCUUUUAAUAAUUUUCUCUUAAAUAUAAAUUCCUUAAUACCAAAUUAAACAAAUAAAAGAGUAGGGAAGAUAGAAAAUUGCACAGGUAAUUUUUAUACUGGUUCGGAUCACAAAAAUCUUACAUCUAGUUGUUAAUCUCAACCAAGAAUUAAUGCUUCACUAGCACAAACCAACAAACUGUUACAAUCAAAAAGAAAAUAAAAUAGUUUAAGGUUAGAAAACGUCUCUUGCUACCGCAAGAGAUGAAACUCACUUUCCUUGUAACCCACAAGGGAUG
rnacentral:lncRNA from 1 species